AUGGGGUGUGGUAGGGUGUUAGUAUGAGGUAAGCACCAUGGAUUGGUGUACGGGAAAAUAGCUAGGCUCUUGUUCUUAGUACAUGUCUGUGGGCUGUGGUGGGUCCCAGUUUUCUGUGCGUUUGCGGGCCAGGUUUAAGAAAACAAGGGGCAAAGCUCUCAGUAGGACUUAAAGAAAAGGAAAAGAAGUAGAGGUGACAGGGCACUCUUGAUUUGCUGCUGUGGAAGCUGUGUGUCCAUCAUUCAUCACACUUAGCUGGAUGCUGCCUGCCUGAGGGGACUGAACCUUUCUGUCAGUCACAGGCUGAAUAAGACCCCUCAAGGUUUGAUCUCUUGCCUAGCACCUUGCAGCUCUGAAGGGGUGAGCAGGGGAAGAAAAGAAAGGCUGAGCAGUGGAAGCCCAGGCGUUCUUCCCUCAAGCCUGGACCAAGCCACCCUGCUGGGACAGACGCCUGCUGCAGGAUGGCUCGGAAGAUGAGUCUCUGUGAGCUGGAAGACCAGUUGCUCUGCCCCAUCUGCCUGGAGCUCUUAAAGGAGCCCCUGAUGCUCCAGUGCGGGCACUCCUUCUGCAAGUCCUGCGUGGAGUCUCUCGUGUGCAACCUGGACCAGCAGCUCCUGUGCCCCGUGUGCCGCCAAGCUGUGGACUGCAGCACCUUGCUGCCCAACGUCACGCUGGCCUGCGUCAUUGAGGCGCUGCGGACCAUGGGCAAUUCAGAUCCCAACCAGGAGUCCUGCCCUGUCCACCAAAACCCCCUCAGCCUCUUCUGUGAGCAGGACCAAGAGGUGAUCUGUGGGCUGUGUGGCAUCAUUGGGGCUCACCGUCAGCAUAAGAUCAUGCCUGUCUCUACCAUAUACAGCCGGAUGAAGGAGGAGCUUUCAGUGCUAAUAACAGAGGUCCAGCAACACAAGAGGAAUCUGGAUGAGCACAUCAGCAAGCUGGUUAACAAUAAAACCCGGAUUGCAAAUGAGUCGGACGUCUUCAAGUGGGUGAUCCGGAAAGAGUUCCAGGAGCUGCACCGAUACAUUGACGAGGAGAAGGCCAGCUUCCUGGGGAGCAUUGAGAGGAAGGCUGGCCACCUCAUUGCCUCCAUUGAGUUCCAGGUCACACAGACAUCAGACGCCCUGCACAAGCUGCAGGAGAUGGAGAGCUCGCUGGAGAAACUCAACAAUGAAACUCAGCUGGAUUUCAUCCGGAACUAUGGCUCAUUCCCCUCCAGGUCAGAGUUUCUCCCCCAGCACCCAGCUGAAGGGACCUUCAGUGCCAUCUCCUUUAAGCCAGGUUUCCACCAAGAUGACAUCAAGAUGACAGUAUGGAAACGUCUGCUCCGCAGAGUCCUGCCAGCCCCAGAGACACUGAAGCUGGACCCGGUGACAGGACACCCUCUGCUAGAGCUGACCAAGGACAACACCGUGGUGCAGAGCAGGCUCCUCUAUCAGCGCCGGGGCAGCUUUCCUGAGCGCUUUGACGCCAGCAACUGCAUCCUCGCCAACAAGGGCUUCUCCUGGGGCAAGCACUACUGGGAGGUGAUCGUAGGCACCAAGAGCCACUGGCGCCUGGGCAUCAUCAAGGGCACAGCUAGCCGCAAGGGCAAGCUGAACAAGUCUCCCGAGCAUGGCGUGUGGCUCAUCGGCCUGAAGGAAGGAAAGAUCUACGAGGCCUUCAACAACCCCCGCACCACACUGCCACUCACGGCCCGGCCCCAGCGCAUCGGCGUCUACCUGCACUACGAGAAGGGCGAGCUGACCUUCUACAACGCCGACAGCCCCGACGAGCUCGUCCCCAUCUACACCUUCCAGGCGGAGUUUCAGGGCAAGCUCUACCCCAUCAUAGACAUGUGCUGGCAUGAGCGGGGCACCAACGCUCUGCCCAUCGUGUUGCCCACGCCUGCCAUGAUUCGACACACACAAGCUCCCGACAGCAGCCUGGACCCACCGGAGCCCACAAAGCUAUAGAUCUCCACCCAGAGCCCCUCACCCUACCCACUGUUUGGGGAUGGUCAGAGCUCUCUGAAGCCCACCUGGGGAGGGCUUAUAGCUGGUGUUGGUCUCUGCCAGUCAAGCCUUGGGGUUGGGGAAACAGGAUCUUUAUCCCUUAAGAGCAGAGAUGGGCAUGAACCAAAUCAGCCCCCCAUCCCCACUCUCGGGGGAACUUGGACCCGAUUGCUGCCAUUUGGACCCAUCCCCACUACCGUGUUCAACCUGUCUCUGCCGCCUGUUCUCCACCCAGACUCCUGUGUGACGCACCAUAAUGACUGCUGCGGACUGAGGACUGCGUCUCAGGCUGAGGAUCAUGUCGGAGCAGCAGGCAGAGAGAGAAGUAGCCUGCCCCCAUGCACAUGGCCCCAGCUAUGCGGAAUCAGAGAGGAUGAAGACAGAAUCCAACCAGCCAAGACACAAUUGUCUCAGUCAGUGGUCAGAGCUUUGCAUGGAAUAUCAACUGCUCCUUAAACAAACCUGUUCUCCCUCCCCAACCCGACAGUUCCCCUUAACACAGUGUACCAAGGCCCACAUGUGUAUGUCCUUGUAUAGCCCCUAGGAUCUCCCAAGUCCACUACUCAACUCUGGCGCCCGUUAGCUCAUGCUUUCAAAUCAAGAGUCCAGAGUUCCUUCCACCCCAGGUGACCUGGCGUGGGGCAUCACUGCACACCGUUUAGCAGCUGGCUGGAAUUAAACAGCCACCCAGCAUUAGUAUGGGUUGCCUAUGUGCCCUUGCUAGGGAGGCUUUCCCCAAACAUCAGAAAUCCACAGUGGGGCAGAUCCCCCCUACCCCGUGUCUGCAGGGAGUGAACAUAAUGUGAUGGAUUAGUUAAGUCUGUACAUGUCUAAAUCAAACUACAAACACCAUUUGAUGAAUGCCAUGUUGAGUGGAAACUGCACUGUAUCUUCAGUGUUGUCUUUUUAUCUGCAUCUUGGAGUGGGAUUCCUGGAAGUGUUAGCACAUGGCUAACACAGAGCAACAAGAGUGGUUUACCUAGUGGUUCUCCCAUCAAAUGGAAGCAUCCUAGGACAGCGAGCGGCCUACUUCCUAGGGGAACCAGAGCUUCCAAGUGGGCUUCUAAUCAAGUAAUGUAUCAACUGACAGGGACUCGAAGCCACUGAAGAGAGUCACCUGAUGGGGGGGCACUGGGACAUGACAAAAGGAAGCCUCUCCCAUCAGCAAUUUCUGAGAGAGGCUAUCAGGCCCAGAAGGCGAAGCUGUACACAGGGUGGCAGGUAGGGGCGUGAAGGAAAGGAGGGUCCUGGGACCCUGAAAGGAAUGAUCAAAACCCAAAGGGCUCUGUGAGUGGUGUGAGUGUGGGGGCUCUCCCCAGCAGGUGGGCUUCUAGAUUGGGAAUCCCAUUAUGGGGUGAGACCCUGCAGGAUUCCUAUGUCCACCUCUGCCUGGAUGCUGGGUUGUGACUGCUUCUGCAGUGGGAGGGUGUGCUGUAGUUCUUGGCUUUUUCAAGGCUAUUCUCUGUACAUGUGCCAUCAUUUCACUAGGGAUAAAGGUCACGUAUGGGGCAGCGAUUUCCAGGUUCAUUCUUUGGGGAUUGGGUCCGUUUGUGCUGGGCUUCUGGUUAACCUGUGACUUAGUAAAUGGACCUGCAGAGUGCGCUAGGCCUGACCUGAUCUCUCUUCCAUCUCUGUCUGAUGCUUGGAACCAACUGGAGUAUUCUUGUAUCUCAGGUGAUUUGGGAAAAGGGAUUGUUUGUGUCUUACCUGUUUGUUUUUGC